AUUGAACGCUGGCGGCAUGCCUUACACAUGCAAGUCGAACGGUAACAGGUCUUCGGAUGCUGACGAGUGGCGAACGGGUGAGUAAUACAUCGGAACGUGCCUAGUAGUGGGGGAUAACUACUCGAAAGAGUGGCUAAUACCGCAUGAGAUCUACGGAUGAAAGCAGGGGAUCGCAAGACCUUGUGCUACUAGAGCGGCCGAUGGCAGAUUAGGUAGUUGGUGGGAUAAAAGCUUACCAAGCCGACGAUCUGUAGCUGGUCUGAGAGGACGAUCAGCCACACUGGGAAUGAGACACGGCCCAGACUCCUACGGGAGGCAGUAGUGGGGAAUUUUGGACAAUGGGCGCAAGCCUGAUCCAGCAAUGCCGCGUGCAGGAUGAAGGCCUUCGGGUUGUAAACUGCUUUUGUACGGAACGAAAAGCCCUGGGUUAAUACCCUGGGGUCAUGACGGUACCGUAAGAAUAAGCACCGGCUAACUACGUGCCAGCCGCCGCGGUAAGAC
rnacentral:rRNA from 1 species